rnacentral:rRNA from 1 species
CCAAUAGCGUAUAUUAAAGUUGUUGCAGUUAAAAAGCUCGUAGUUGAACUUCGGGGUUUACCCAUUGGUCAGGCUUAAUUGUCUGUACUGGUGAGAUGAAUCUCUACCUUCUGAGGAACUUUCAUGCCAUUUAUUUGGUGUGAUUGGAAAUCAGGACUGUUACUUUGAAAAAAUUAGAGUGUUUAAAGCAGGCUAACGUCUGAAUACAUUAGCAUGGAAUAAUGAAAUAGGACGGAUUGAUUCUAUUUCGUUGGUUUCUAGGAUCACCGUAAUGAUUAAUAGGGAUAGUUGGGGGCAUUAGUAUUCAAUUGUCAGAGGUGAAAUUCUUGGAUUUAUUGAAGACUAACUACUGCGAAGGCAUUUGCCAAGGAUGUUUUCAUUAAUCAAGAACGAAAGUUAGGGGAUCGAAGACGAUCAGAUACCGUCGUAGUCUUAACCAUAAACUAUGCCGACUAGGGAUCGGACGAAGUUAAUUUUAUAAUGACGCGUUCGGCACCUUACG